rnacentral:rRNA from 1 species
UACGGAGGAUCCGAGCGUUAUCCGGAUUUAUUGGGUUUAAAGGGUGCGUAGGCGGCCUAUUAAGUCAGGGGGUGAAAGACGGUAGCUUAACUAUCGCAGUGCCUUUGAUACUGAUAGGCUUGAAUGUACUUGAGGUAGGCGGAAUGUGACAAGUAGCGGUGAAAUGCAUAGAUAUGUCACAGAACACCAAUUGCGAAGGCAGCUUACUAAAGUAUGAUUGACGCUGAGGCACGAAAGCGUGGGGAUCAAACAGG